CAUCUGGAUGAUGCAACAGGAUCCUGAAGACAGUGCCAGCGAAUGGUCACCUGUAAUCUCUUUCUGACCAGAUUUCUAAUCCCCUUUACCAUCUGUUAGCUGAGAACUCCCAGAACUACUGCAACUGCUGAUUCAUUUGCUUUUAAGGCCUGCUGCUGACAUUGCAGGAGCAGUGGCUGUGCUGCACUCUGGAGCUAAUCACCACCCAGGUGUGACAGACCUUUCCUGCCAAUCUUCUUUGUUGUCUUAGGCUGGGGAAUUGUUUCACUCUGACCUUUUAGCUGAUUCUAUGAUCCAGAAUUCAAUUUGAAGUGUUAUUUUAAAGCUGUUUUGGAAGCGAAUCUGGGAGAGUUCAGGUGUGAAUGUUCAAAUCUGGCAUCAAAUGCUUACUAACUUUAUGAUUCUGAUUAAGUUUUUUGAACUAUGUUUGCCUCAGUUUCUUCAAAUAUACAUCUUUGAUAAGAUGAGAAAUUCUCUUAAACAGACUUUGAAAAAUUGUCAUGGCAAGGAAAUGUAGUCAUCAAGGAGAUGGUUGGACAGACAGUGCAAAAUCUCUGUUGCCACAAUCUGACAGAGGCCUGCUACAAGUCUUAUGCAAAGUCACUUGUGACUUUUUGUUGGUGUUUCCCUACCUGGUGAGAUAUGAACCAGAAGACAGGAGGAUCAAAACAGAUAUGCAGUAAUCACCUGGGAACUCUGACUGCUGGAAAAUUAGAGAUAUGGGUAUGCCUAUAUUUUCAUCUUCCUUGGGCCUCUUAUGUGGACUGAGAUAAAAGUUUGAUUUGCUUCUCAAAUUAAGAAAACUAACUGAAAAAUCUGGAUGUGGUGAGGACCCUCCAGUCUGGAAAAAUGAUUUCAGUUACCAUUGAAAGGAGCCAUUGAAGUAGAAAACAUUUCAUGAAAGAAGAAAUAAUUACAAUUUCCAUAGAUUUAGUGCUCUACAUUCUCUCAAAACUCCAUUAACUGAAAAAUUCCUGAAAAUGCAGAAGACAAAAUGAAUUUCAUGAACAAUCUACUUAUCUAUCUCAAGAGUGCUGGUAAAAGUCCAAACCAAUAUGUGAAACAUGAUUAUAUACCAUCUUUCUCUAACAACACAGAUGUACAUUUAACUAGAUAAAGAGUAUUACAAAUUUACUCAAUAGAAGGUAAAAAAAAAUAACUCUACAGUGUUGGAAUGUUAAAAUCAUCCUAUCUUGUGCACUGGCCCACAAAUAUGAGUGAUUAUAUAAAAUAAACAAACUUCAAGAAAUAGUGUCUGCAUUUACUCUUGAUGAAGAAGCAGUUAUCUCCUGUGUAAUUUGAACCAAAGAAAAAUGAAAUUAUACUCAUAAAGUUGUAGUUAUUAAUGCUAUUUCUUGAAUAAAUGGGAAAUGCAUGCUGAAUUGUAUGAUCAGGUAAA